AAUGGUUUAAUGAUGUUUUACAACAGAAAUGAACUGUACAGUUACAGUAAGUUUAAUAUAUAUAAAAAAUUACAGCAGACAAAUGCAUCUACACAAAAUCUAUCAUUUCAUUCUGAUUCACUGUCACCUACACAACCUCUCCCAAGCCUGCAGCCCCUGCAGGCAGCCCCAGGAGGGGGAAUCAUGUAAAGGGCACUUUAAAGAGACAGCACCACUCAUAGUCCCCAUCACCUCCUCAGGCCUCGGGAGGGACCAGCUAAUUCCCCUAAAUGUAAAGUUGCGUGUGUUUUGGGUUUUCAAAACCAAGAAAAUGUGUGUUUCCCAGGGCCCAGGUAACAAGGUCCUGAACUCCAAGUUAUGAGCUGAUUCUUAUAAAAUAUUCCUAUCAGAGGGGAAACGGCUAACCGGGUGCCCUGGGCAGUGAAGCCAUACAACAGCCACCCAGACUGCAGAGUCACCUACGGAGAAAUGUCAGAGGACUCCCAAUAAACCACUCAGGAAUUGUCACUGCCUCAGUAAAGCUGCUGGACAAGUUUGGAAAGAAUCAUUUACACCACAUCUUAAGUUUCCACAAAAGAGAACUCAAACUCACAUUUUAAAGUUAAGUACAUAAAACAAAAAGUUUUGGGAGACCAAGGGGUCAAUUUCCCCUUGUGACCCUCCCUUGACAACAGUGGAAAAACACCCCUGAAUCAAUAUCUUUAAAAAACAAGAAGAAAAGAAAAAGGUGGGGGAGUUAAGAUAUUUAAAGAUAGAAAGAAAACACCUUUAGAAAAAACAUGAUCACUGUCUCUUUAAAACAAAACAAAAUCCCAGCUGGGAACAGUAAUCAGUGAAUAUGCAACCCAAAUUGAACCUAGUGGAAGUUUAUUACUAAAUCUUAUGUACACUCAGAAUGUUUUCAUUUUCUUUUUUAUUAUGAACACCUAGGCAGUGAAAACUGUUAUGUCAAUACAUACAUAGACACACCCCAAACAUACAAAAAUACUAUUAUUUCAAACUACUAAGAAUAGGACAGUUCAGUUAUUUUCAUGCUAUGACUUUAAGGGCAUUACACUGAAACAAACAAGAAGUUAAACGACAUUUUUUUUAAUAUCCCAGAAAUAUACCAAAAUAUACAUCUAAGCUUUGGAAUUACUGAGGUUAGACUAAUGCAAGUGCUGGGUAAUCGUACUUAAUACACAAGUCUAAGGUUCUGCAGGAAAGAAAUCAUCUUUGGUAUCUGCAUCAGGCUAAUAUUAUUAACAUUUGGAUUUUGCUUUGGGAUAGAGCUUGUAUGACCCUAGAACCAGACCCCCUCCCCCAAUCAACUGAGAUUAAAAAGAUCCAUUUAAAAAGUCACAGGCAUCUGCCUAGAGCGAAAGGUCGUGAACACAAUGCAUAGUUGCACAGUGGCGCUGAAAAAGAAACCGACCACAAGAAGGAGAAAUGACAAGCUCGAUCAUCGUUCUGCAUGUUUCCUCACAAACAGGACAGCCACUUCCAAGCAGUUCCAGUACAGGAAAAGAGAAGAAAGGCUCAGAAGGGCCCGUGGGUGUGUGUUCCCCUCACGGCCCAGAGGUCAGAGCACCCAGCAGAGCCGCCAAUCGUGCGCCAGCGUCUCCAGCUCCCCCACUCUGUGGUGUCCACGGCCGCGCUAAGCUCCCGUGUGACGUGUUAGUGUCCGUGGACAAUCGUGGCGACGGGGUUUUGUCUAUGGUUUUGGAAUAUCUGAAAUGCCAAUGUGUUCCACAGCACGUGCACAGCUGAAAGAGCCAGAGCUCCUGGGAGGCACCUCUGUAGACCCCGGCGUGGGGCACAGACCCCCGGCCUCCCCUGCGGAGGGCCCCGCCUGCUGGCCUCCCUCCGCCAAACGCCAGGACGCCACAGACUGGACUGACGCUGAAGACUUCCCUUUUCUUUGGUUUUUUUGUUUGUUUUGAGUUUAUACAAUCAUUAAGAAAUCUUUGGUUUUGGCUGGAAAUUUAAACAAAACAAAACAAAACAAAACAAAGAAACCACCCUCCCUGGCUUACAGCAGCAGUAUCAAGACCUGGCAGAGCUUUCCCAGCGCUGGGGUGGGAGCUGAGGGUCGGGGAACUACAUUCAAAGAAAAGGUGAAAGGGCUGGGGAUGCAGCUUCUAGAGAGCCUGGUGGAUAUAAGAUUGUCAAAUAAUAACAACAUUAAUAAUAAAAACUUAAAUAUUUGGAUUUUUUCUUUUUGGUCAUGUCAAAGGAAAAAAGUGAAAUGUGUACGCAGCAGUCAGCUUAAGGGAGCCUUUGGUGUCUUCCCUUCCACCCAAAGUCCUGAAAAUAAGCAGAACCCUGAGGCCUCAGAGGGGAAGGGAUGGCCUCCACCCACUGGGGGAAAGGCAAGUACAAGAGUUACUGUGCAGCCAGCAGUCAGACAGGUGGGAGGGGGCGGGGUGCGGAGAGCUGGCCAGCCGCUCCAGGCAGGGUGCUGGGGAAAGCAGAUGUUAGGAGACCUGUGAAGACCCCUUGCAACAAAAAGAAAGAGAAGAUUGCAAUUUGCCCUCAGUUUGCAGUAGCUUGUAAGCAGCGACAUUCAGAGGCUUUACGAGGUCCCACCCUAGGCUCCAGGUCCCGUGAUGCUAUAGGCCAGAGUUCAACAUUACUCAGAGGGAGGGCAGACUUGGCAACUCUGUAGGGUUUAGAGAAAGUUAAAGCAAGUUACUCGGUCACGAGUUAGAAAUGAGGUAUACGACAGCUCCCGGACGUGUGGUGGGCAGGAGCCCCACGCUUACUCACCUAGCCUGUGCUACUGCCACAGAUGGAGGAAGUGGGGCCACGGUCUACCGUGGGAGGAGGGCGUGUCCUCGGAGAGGGAGGCUCUGUGGAGUGGGUAAUGCACACGUGCCCACUCAAGCAGAGGCAAGAAGCUGGGAGAUGCCUGUUUCUCCUCUUUAUCUGAACUCAGGGGACACAGGAGACACACCAUUUAUGUUGUGGAAAGCCAAUGUUAUAAUAUGGUUGCAAAGUCAUAUGCUCCCUCCUUUUUUCCCCUCCCAACUGUCUGCCGUUUUAAACACAACCAGGCAGGCAGUGGUCCACUGUCCUCUUAGAAGUAUGUGCCUUGUGCAGAGCAGGGUCGGAGCCAAAGACAUGGCACCCCCCCCCCCCCCCCCCGCCUACGACAGCCUUUCCUAUCCCAACUGUCCUUUUAGCUUCUGAAAGUGCAUUUCAUUUCCUGCUCUAUCGUUAAGACCUUGAGACACUGUGAGGGCUGGGUGGGAGCGCAGAGUCUUUUCUCCUCUUGCCUCUGUCCUUUCUCGGUCGAAGGAGAUCCCACCUUUGAGCAAGUGUUUGGAUGUCCCCUCUUGUUAACAGCACUGCGGCCGGCUGUCUGCCUGCAGACUUGGGGUGCAGCGUUAGGGGACCCAACGCUGCAGCCCAGUUACGAAGGAAGCCUAAGGCUGCUUCUGUGUCGGCUGUGGCCGGCCCGAAACAAGGACGGAUGAAUAAACCAGGGAAAGUCAGGGAACUUUGCAGCAGACCUCAAUGUUUUUAUAGUAAAUUAGUUUUGGGGUGAACUUUCUGACAGUGUCCUGGGUUUGAAGCAGAAGGGGCGCUGGGUGGCGGAGCUCUGCGCAGAGUGGGCAGAUCCGGGGACACAGAAAGAAUCACAAACGGAACCUUCCCUCCUGAGCCCCAGGGAGUGUCACUUGCCUGCUCAAAGUGGGGUUCCACCAUGCACACCUGUUUCCCCAUAACUUUGUUUCAAGUGCUCUGAUCUUCAAUAUCCCCGUUACCUACUUAUAAACCUACGUAGCGCUUUGAAAGGUCACACAAUGUUAAUACCACUUUUACACAAUGUCAGAACAGUAAGAUGACUAGUAAAGCUUUCAUGAAGUUCUGCAACCUGAUUGUUUUUGAUGGCAUAUUAAGAGAGCAUUAAGUUUCGUUCCCCUCUCCCUUUCUGUGUCCCAUCAAGAGUCACCAGAACAAUGAACUACCCAGCUUCUGGAGCCACACACAAAACCCAUGGAGCAGUGCAGCUCCAAGGGGGGAAAGGAAGGCCUGCUAGUUUUCCAGGCCAUCCUGCUCUUGAAAAUGCUUAUCCUUUACACGUGACGGAACAGACGGCACAGAAGCACAUCUAAAUACCGCCUGAGCUCAAACAGGCUGUACUGGUUCUAUUUAUAAGUGUUAGAUAAAGGGAAACAACGAUAAGAAUUCCACCCCCAUCUUCUUCCCUCCCCUAAAUUUCCCAGCAAUUCCAAGAACAUCACUGCUGCACUGAGCGACUAUCCACCUUCACGGAGCCAGCAGAGUGAAACUCAGUAAGUCUCCUUUCCAAAGCCAGGAUAACCAAGGAGACAUCCUUCAAAAAGUGGAGAACGGGGCGGGGGGGAAGAAGAGAGGGGAGAGGAAAAGGAAAGAGACAAAAGGAAAGCUUUUCCAGAUUCCAGCCUUUUCUCCUAUUCCCUCUGCCUGUUUUGCAAACAUAAGGAUAGACAAUGACAUGGAAGUGUCUUUGGUAUCCAAACCAAAUCCCACUUAAGUUCUGUGAGAUGGAUUGUUUAUUUAAAAAUAGCCUUUCUGGAAAUAUAGGCUUUAUCUGAACUCGGGAAGCCAAGAAAUCUGUCCCAAAGGAUGGGCAGAAAGGGCUCUUAAUUUUUCCUAAACUGGCACCAUUUCUCACUCACAUUGCCACCAACAAUACUCUCCUCAGUCUCACCAACCAGCCAAUCCCUAAAGGUCACACCCGACCCCAGGUGUGAGGAAGCAGGCUGGCUUCCAACUUCUUGGUUUGGUUUUUCUUCUGCUUGCGUUUUUGGUCUAGACAGAAUUAGCGUUGGCAAGAGAAAAGGAAGUAGGGUUUUAGAACGUUGUGCUACCAGCACAACACUCAACAACAUGACAGAGGCUGACAAAAAGAACCUGUUUUAUUUUAAUGUUCCUAGAUUAGGAUGCAUCAAACUCGUCUCUCCUCUCCUCUUCAAAUUAAAUGAGGCAUGUCUACUUCUGCCUCUAUUUCUCCACGACACACCCAGACAUUCACACAUUCAUCCUUUGCCUAAGCUCUUGCUACACACAGAGGUAAUGAAUCAUCAGAGAGGCUGGCAGGGUCUGGGGACAUGGGCAGCCAUGGGAAGGGAUGUAAAUGCCCUAGGGGACCCUGAACCUACUGGAUAACCCAUGUGUAACCUGCAUGCCACCACACUGCACUGCAGGUCAGACCACAGAGAGGCCAACGAAUCCCAAACCCAAUCACAGGGAUAAUCAAGUUUCCUUUGGCAAGACAGAUAUAAGGAAAACAAACAAACACAUAUGAGCAAGGUUUUCCUUCUAACAUAAUCAACUUCUCCUCUUCCCCCACCCCAACCCUCCCUAACCCUAUAAACGGUAACCUAUAAGCAGGAUCCCAAAUACAUACAGCAUCAAUCAUGUUCAUCAAUCAUAAUAAACAUCGGUUCAACUAAAUGCUACAGCUAGAAUUAUUUCCACUAUUUAUAAAGUUUUUUUCUUUUUACUUAUUUAUUUGGUUUUUAGUUUAAAACCAGUUGCAACAAUGCUAAGCUAUGCUGAGGUAUUUUAUGAAGGUGCCAGAAGCUAGCUGUUACCCACCAGCAUCACCCUCACAGAUUAAGGAAACACCAUUCAAAGAGGAAGGAAGAGAAGAGAGGAAGGGAGAUCCAGGUUAGAGUCAACCCAAGAGCCACUCAAGCUGACUGCAUUUCGCGAAGCCAAGAGGAGAAAGCCAAGCAAGGAAGCGCUCAUGGAUCAGGAUGCUGAGAAGAAAGCAAGAGUUCACAAACCAUACGGACACGCAGGUGGAAACUGGACAACUCUGAGAAAAAACAUAUUUCCUGCGCUCCUGAUGGAAUCCUUUCAGAUAUCUUACUGGAAACCUCAGGGGUGUCCCAUUCCAGUCUCUUGGACUAAGAAAAGAAUGAGACAGAACAGGAUUAGCAUCAGCCUUUAAUGAGGAGAGAAUUUAUUUAUUCUAUUCCUGUCCAAGCUCACACUGGUAUUGUGUGCACCGUCUAUGCAAACCUGGAUAAUAGCUCAUCUUAGUUAUUCUUCUUAAAGGAAUGGCAAAGGAUUUUUUCCUUCUCAAAAGUGAAGGCAAAUGCUAAGAAAGACUUACUAUUUUACAAGGUAUCAUCCUCAAAAUGUUUUAAGAUGAAAAUGACUUCAAAAUGGCCAGAGCUAUGAUUACAUGAACAAUGUCACACAUCAAAUGCUUUUCACACACACACAUACAGAAAUGAACUCAAGAUGGCUAUGAUCAACAUCAACCCUUGCGCAUUUGAAUAAUUUUAAAUUUCAGGUCUUAGUCUUUUUCUCCAUUAGUAUUGACAGUCUUUUAACAUUUUCAGCUCCAAUAAACAUGGUUUGAAGAAUAUAUAAAUUUUGAAUUCAUCAAUUUUAGAUCCUGACUUAAUGAGAAAGUAUUUGACCAAACUCUCAUAACAAAUUGUUGAGGCUCUUCUUAAAUUGAGGGUUCUCAAACUGCAGACUGAUCUCCGGGGAACCCCCUACGAGGUCAAAACAGAUUGCCAGCAGCAGGUCCCAACCAGGUACCACGUACCACUGGCCUCCCCAUCCCCAGCCCUGAUGCUCAGAGCUCACUGACUUCUCCCUGUCCACGCUUCUCCCCUCUCUUCCUGUCUCAAACAUUUUACUUUUUUCUUGGUAAAGAAAGUUUUGUGACGAUGACAUGGUUUGGGAACAACUUUAGACUAUGAACUACAGAGAGUUUCUUCUGUAAGCCAAGUGUUUAUUAGACAUUAAUUGCAGUGUUUUAUCAGGACUUAUAACUUUAGAAAUCUACAUUAUUUUCCUAUAAUUGCAAAGGUGUCCAGCUUUCCCAGCAAUUUAAAUAGAAAAUUUAAUAUUAAAGAUUGGGCUGAAUUUAAAUAUUGUGUCAAACAAAUAUCUGCGCUUCUGGAUAAUAUAGACAAGGUUUCUCCCCACCUUCCCAAACAAAAGA
rnacentral:lncRNA from 1 species